AACGCGAAGAACCUUACCUGGGCUCGAAAUGUAGAGGACGACGUUAGAGAUAACGUUUCUCGAAAGGGUCUCUAUAUAGGUGCUGCAUGGCUGUCGUCAGCUCGUGCCGUGAGGUGUUUGGUUAAGUCCAGCAACGAGCGCAACCCUUAUCGUUAGUUGCCAACGCGUGAAGGCGGGAACUCUAACGAGACUGCCUGGGUUAACCAGGAGGAAGGUGAGGAUGACGUCAAGUCCGCAUGGCCUUUAUGUCCAGGGCUACACACGUGCUACAAUGGUCGGUACAGAAGGCAGCGAAAUCGCAAGAUGAAGCAAAUCCUGCAAAACCGAUCUCAGUUCAGAUUGUAGUCUGCAACUCGGCUACAUGAAGUUGGAAUUGCUAGUAAUGGCGUGUCAGCAACAACGCCGUGAAUACGUUCCCGGGCCUUGUACACACCGUAGUAC
rnacentral:rRNA from 1 species